CCUACGGGCGGCAGUGGGGAAUAUUGCGCAAUGGGCGAAAGCCUGACGCAGCGACGCCGCGUGAGGGAUGAAGGUCUUCGGCUCGUAAACCUCUGUCAGCAGGGAAGAACGGUCACUUUGAUAAUCAGCAGUGAAUUGACGGUACCUGCAACGGAAGCACCGGCUAACUCCGUGCCAGCAGCCGCGGUAAUACGGAGGGUGCGAGCGUUAAUCGGAAUUACUGGGCGUAAAGCGCUCGUAGGCGGUAUGUCAAGUCAAGGGUGAAAUCCCCGCGCUCAACGUGGGAACUGCCUUUGAAACUGGCAAGCUGGAGUGUGUGAGAGGAUAGUGGAAUUCCAGGUGUAGGAGUGAAAUCCGUAGAGAUCUGGAGGAAGAUCAGUGGCGAAGGCGACUAUCUGGCACAUAACUGACGCUGAGGAGCGAAAGCGUGGGUAGCAAACAGGAUUAGAUACCCGAGUAGUC
rnacentral:rRNA from 1 species